GACCUCAAAUCAGGUAGGGCUACCCGCUGAACUUAAGCAUAUCAAUAAGCGGAGGAAAAGAAACUAACAAGGAUUCCCCCAGUAACGGCGAGCGAACAGGGAAGAGCUCAAAUUUGAAAUCUGGCGUCCUCAGGGCGUCCGAGUUGUAAUCUAUAGAGACGUUUUCCGUGCCGGACCGUGUCCAAGUCCCUUGGAACAGGGUAUCAAAGAGGGUGACAAUCCCGUACUUGACACGACGACCGGCGCUCUGUGAUACGUCUUCUACGAGUCGAGUUGUUUGGGAAUGCAGCUCAAAAUGGGUGGUGAGUUCCAUCUAAAGCUAAAUAUUGGCGAGAGACAGGAUAGCGAACAAGUACCGUGAGGGAAAGAUGAAAAGC
rnacentral:rRNA from 1 species